AUUGAACGCUGGCGGCAGGCCUAACACAUGCAAGUCGAACGAGUGGCGGACGGGUGAGUAAUGUCUGGGAAACUGCCUGAUGGAGGGGGAUAACUACUGGAAACGGUAGCUAAUACCGCAUACCAUCGGAUGUGCCCAGAUGGGAUUAGCUAGUAGGUGGGGUAAAGGCUCACCUAGGCGACGAUCCCUAGCUGGUCUGAGCGGAUGACCAGCCACACUGGAACUGAGACCCGGUCCAGCCUCCUACGGUAGGCCGCAGUGGGGAAUAGUUCACAAUGGGCGCAAGCCUUAUGCAGCCAUGCCGCGUGUAUGAGGCAGGCCUUCGGGUUGUAAAGUACUUUCAGCGGGGAAGCGUAACCCGCAGAAGAAGCGACAGCUAGCUCCGUGCCAGCAGCCGCGAUAAUUC
rnacentral:rRNA from 1 species